rnacentral:rRNA from 1 species
AAGGGCACCACAAGAACGCGUGGAGCAUGUGGCUUAAUUUGACUCAACGCGAGAAAUCUUACCGGGUCCAAACACACUGAGGAUUGACAGUGAAAGAGAUGUUUGUUCAUUCUGUAAGCCACAAAGUGAAUGAAUAUAGAAAGUUGCUAGUACUUUCAUGAUUAUGUGAAAGGUGGUGCAUGGCCGUUUGUAGUUCGUGGAGUGAUCUGUCUGCUUAAUUGCGUUUCAGAAUAGACUCAAGAUAUACCGCGUAAUUUUGAGCUUUGAGUAGAGACACGCCGAUUUGUAGUUGUCGGGUGACGCGUUAUGCAUGCUACUAUGUGCUGGUGCAUAGUAGGUGUAUGUGUGUGUGUGUUAGUACAAGGGUAACACACGAGGAGAUGUUGUUUAGUUCAGACAGAAGACGUUAUGCACCUUCUAGUCUUGAAAGCAACGAACGUGACCGUAUCUUCUUAUUUCCUCAAAGGGCGCGCGCUUGCAAGUGUUGCGAAAGAGGUUUCAGAAAACUAGAAGAACCGCUGAGACUCAUUCAACCAGAGGAAGGUUACGGCAAUAACAGGUCUGUGAUGCCCUUCGAUGUUCCGGGCCGCACAUGUGCUACAAUGAUUAUUGCAGUAAGCAUCUGAAUCAAUGACACUGUGCUUACUGUUGUUGGAGUUGUUGACCAUCCAACUGUAAGAGGAGUAAGAUACAGUCGACCAUUCUGUAUCGAGAGUAUACGGGAAAUCAAUUGGAAGUAAUGAUGACCUUUGAUUCGAGCUGUUGUUACAGGGCAACAGUUCGAUUUUGAACAGGCACACAAUAUGUCUCUUCUUAUCCCAAAUUUCGAAGUUUUAGCAGCUUCUUAGUUUGUGUGUUAAGUUGGUUCUCUGGGCAUGUGCUUUUGUUAACUCAAGGCGGGGACAGACCAUUGUUAAUUGUUGGUCUCGGUCUAACAAGGAAUGCCUUGUACGGGUCUUGGUUCAACAAACCAC